rnacentral:lncRNA from 1 species
AUGAUGUCAUACCUGUGGAUUCUGCUGUUGGGCAGCCUGCUGGCUUCACGCGCCACGGCGCAAGAAGAGGACGGCCCAGUUCCAGAGAUCUCUGAUGAUGCCGAGGUGUCUUUAGAUGAUGCUGAGGCUGAAACGGAGGCGGUCAACACAGAUGCAGAGGAACCACAGCUAGACGAAGAGCUAGAACGUGCAGCUGACGACCCUGAAACCCCUGAAGCGAUGACCCCUACAGCAUCAGACCCAGAAGUAGCACCUCCUGCAGGAGAUGGAGAUCCAGAAGAAGAAAGCGAGGAGACGAACACUGAUGCAGCUGAUGCCCCGGUAGAAGGAGAAGAAGAAGAAACAACAACUAUCACGGCAGAUCUUCCUGCAGAUAUAGGCGAGGAAAUAUCAACUACAGCAGAACCCGAACCACUGGAAACAACAGCUCCUACAGAAGAAGAGAAUCCAGAAGCAAGUGGAGAAGCGGCAACUCCUACACCUGCUGAUGAGCAAGUAGUCACCACCACCACUGCCAUUCUCCCUGAGCAAGAGAUAUCUACAACAACAACACCUCCGCCAUUCCCGGUUGUUCCUGUUAGGGAGGCCAAGCAGACAACAAUAACACCAACAACAACCCCAUCAACAACAACAACCCCAUCAACACCAGCACCAACACCAACACUCACAACAACCGCUGAAGUGAAGGAAAUUCUCGUAGUUACUGAAGCACCAUCUGAUCCUGAAGAGGUCACACCUGCAUCUGGAGCUGAUGAGACUACGUUUAUCGACAAUUAUGCAGAUCAAGUUGAAGAGAAAGUGCUUAACCCAGUGAAAGAUUCAAGGAAAAUCUUUGCAAGUCUACCACUCGACGCUGCAUCACACGACACACCUGAAACCGAUGAAACGAGCUCUAAACCUUUAGCGGCAGUCCUGUCUGGGAUUGUUGUGUCUGCAGUGGGAGCUGUGGCUGCGUAUUUCACCUACCAGAAGAAGAAACUGUGCUUCAAGAACAGGCAGGAAGCAGAUCCAGAGGCCGGAAACAAAGGAGAGAAAGCAGAUCCAGCAGAGGCUAAAUCAAAUCCUGAGGCUCUCGCCCCCCUUGUAGACCAGAAAUCAUGA